UCUACUAGCUAAGCUAAGCAGACCCCUAUCUCCUGGCCAACAGGCUGCAGCAAUGACUAGAGGGCUCAUUUUGUUUGUUUGUUUGUGUUUGUUUGUUUUGUCUGCCAUCACUCCAUUUGUACUUUUUCCCCACCCUCUCUCUUUGCCAUGACCUUAAGGUGAAUUAUGAACUGGGUAAACAUAGUGAUGAGGUGGGAAAGGAGGAGGAUUUUUUUGCCAUUCGCUUAUUUUUCAAGUUGGCGUUUCCAAAGGCUGCAUCAAUGGACAGGACAAGUGGAACCAUGCAGCAGUCACAGCACCAGCAGGAGCAAAAGUGAAGAAGGGAAAGCUCGAGCCAUUACAGCUGGUAUGGGGCUGUGGGACUUGGUACUGCAGAAGCACUGGGACUGGUAGAGUGGGGCGGAUGGAUGAUGGUAGCAUUAGGGUGAAGGGUGAGGGCCAGGCUGGGGGCAAGAAUUUCCAAGACUGGCAGUAGGCAGGAAAGGGUAGCAUUACUAGAUCCUAGCUCUACCACAAUUUCUGUCUUAAUAGCAUGGAUUGCAUUUAAUAGCGUAACUGAGGAGCUUGGCUUCAAACCACAUUUUAAAACUUUGUUUUCUUGCCUCCUUUCUCCCCAGUCUCAAGAUAUAACUUUGAGACAAACUGCAUAUGUGUUUCCUUUCAUCUCGAAACACAGCUUUGGAAUAUGCUGUAAACCUCCACUCCCUUUCUUUUCCCAUUCUGCGCUCCCACACCUUUCGCACAUGUAUUUACCUAGAUGCUUGUUAAACACACAUCAUACUCACUUAUCUGGUCAAUAUGUUGCCUUAGAAGCUUCAGGGACCAGAUCCUGAUACGGACCAGACACUUUCAGCCACAAUGGUGCUGGCCCCUUCACCAGAUGGAACAAUAAUUCAAGACAACCCAUUGGAGUGGCUCACCCCACCUGACACCUCCUAGCCCCCUGCCUCUUCUGCAUUCUGAACCCUGUCUUUAAAAGACCCCGUGUUUCCUCUACAAAUCAUAAAGUGGAAAUCUUUGGAAAGAAUUACAUCCACUUCUCCUCUAUCUAGCAUGGAUAAUAAAAUCUUGCUCUCUUUUUAUCACACUUCAUUCUCAUUAUACUGGCUUCUUUUUACAAGUGGCAAGCAGCCAAACCCUUUUGCCAGUUACAGUAGCGGGCAGCCUCUCCCCUUCCCUGCCCAAGAAGAGUGUAUUUUGGACUCCAAGAUCCCUGCACUGGUCUGUGAUUGAAUCCAAUAAUUAGCUCCUCUGACUCUUCUGGACACCAUGUUCUGCUGGGGUGGUCCCUGAAAGGACUUAAGCUCAUUUGCAAAUAAUGGGUGUUAGGACACCUCAAAAUCCGGAAGAGAUCUUGUCUUACUCUUGACCUCUCCUCACUUAAACCAAGCCCUAGGUUGGACACUACAUAAAUGGAAUUGGACCGGGUUUGAGGCUUAGAGAAAUGAACGUUUAAAUCAUAUAGCAGUUGCAUUUACUGCAAUAUGAUCAGAUGAUGCAUUUUCAGAAAAGCAUUACAGAGGACAUAAGAUUGGGGGGAUUUUCAAUGAGUGUUGCUUCUGUAACCUUCCAGUUUCCUCACAAGGAAUAUUUUGGGUUGGUGCAAGCCUACUAGAUAGAGGAAAUCCCACAUGGGGUUUACCAAGUUUCUUACAUUUGCAACAUAUCACCCUGAUAUGUUGUAAAAAUGUGAAGCAAUCUUCACCAUCUUGAUCUAAUAUCCAGGUUAUAAACACAGUUUCUUACUACACAAUUAGUACCAUCUUCCUGCAGAAGCUAUGUGAAACUGAGACAGCACACUUGCACAGUCCCAUUGUGACAAUGUAAUAAUGGCCAGUACCCAGUAUGACAACAUAUAGAAUUAGCUAUUUACUGGGCUUCAAAGCCAAAGAGGAACUGAGCCCAGGAGAUGGGCCAAGACCUCCCUCAAUGUCCCGCAGGCACUUCACAAAAGCUACAAGAGAAGCUCUUGUAAUCACUUAGAGAGGAUGACACCCCCAUAGAUGUCAGUCAGCCUGUCUCCCUGGCCACCCUAGUGCUUGCUCAGGGGGCUCAUGAACAAAGCACCAUGUGACAGUGGUAGGGACUAAGCCUGGGGCCAAUGACAUGGACUUCCCACUUAGCAAGGCUGAUUGGCCUAUUGACACUUAUGGUAUACAGCAGUGUACUCCAGCAGUGAGCCUGCUAGCGUGAUGGCCAAUCUAAGCCCUGAUAUGGUGCCGUUAACCAGAGAAAAUGAACCAGCUAUCUGGUGACAGGUACAUGAGACCCCUUCAAAAGCAUGGAGGCAGGGGUGAUUGGCCCUCACUGGAAUAGAUAUUCUGAAUUUGAAUUUUAUUUCCUUGCCUUCCAUGCCUGUGCCAGUACUGGUACCCAUGGAUUUGUGGAAUUUCUUAAUCACAGUGACUGUAUCCCAUAUAAUAUUGCUUCUAGAAAAGAACUCCUCAUUCAUUCAUUCAAUUAACAUAUAUUUAUUGAGUGCCUACUAUAUGCCAAACACAAAACGGACAAAACAAUAAUCUUUUCCUUUCCCCUUCUUGAUCACAAACACUCUGAGUGGGGCAAAGAUAAUAAAUAUUAUAUUCAGGGUGGGGCCCAGAAAAUAAACAAUAAGCAUAAUAUAUAAUUUAAUUAUAUAGACUAAUAGUAGUACAAGGUGCUAUGGGGAAAAAGUGAGUAGAAUAAGGGGAACUGGGGAUGCAGAGGUUGCAGUUUUAAUGAGGAUGGUCAUAGUGGGCCUUUUUGAGAAGGUUACACUUAAGCAAAGUCUUGAAUGAGGUGAGUGAAGAUUAACCAUACAGACAUCUAGGGAGAGUGCUACAGUAAAAUAAAGAAAGAAAGGGCCUGUUAUUCAUGGGAUUCACCAGUUUUAUCCUGUUCUCCAUCACCCAGAAGCAGCCAGACUUGUGGAAUGGUGGGAUGUCCUGCAGGUGUGACAUUAACAACUUGGAAAUAAAACUUCGAGUGGCAGGCGCUCAACAAACACUCAAGUAACCCAUCAGGCCCAGUUUUUGGAGAAGCCUGGGACUCACCUUGAGGGAAAGGAUGUCCUCUGCGCGGAUGACGAACUCGUCCUGCUCACGGAAAAUGCCCUCUCCGCCACUCUCGUCAGCCUUCUAGUCCGUCUCUCCACACACGGCCGCCGUCUCCUGCUUCUUGGCCAGGGGUACCUUAGGAUGAAGCACAACUCCAGCCUGGGCAACACAGCAAAAAACUCCAUCUCAAAAAGAAGAAAGAGAGAAAGAGAAAAAAAGAAAGAAAAGAGAAAGACAGUGGUUAGAAAGAAAAGAGAAAGACAGUGGGUCAGAGGUCCCCCUCAGUAACAUCCCUCUUGGUUAGAAAUGGAUUUGGCACUAUGAAAUGUUAACUGCUAUUCUCUGGAUUAAUCUGCCUUGCACUGUUUGCUGAUGGCUACAGGUGACUGGAUUAGGCAUGUACAGGAUCUUGGAACAUGGGGAACUUUUUUCUCCCCAGAGGGGGCAACUUGAGAGCUGAUGGGACUGCUGGAAAAGAUCCCUUUGUGACUGACAAGUACCUGCCUGAACUUUUGAUUCAGUGUUGCUGCAAUGGGUGGGUAUUCCUCUGGUCUCCCUGAGCUCCCCGCUUCCCCACCCUGCCUCAGACCAGGCUUCUCUCUCUUACUCUCUCUUUCUCUCCUUUUCUUUUCCUAUCGUUUCUGUUACUUGAGACUACCUGCUCUUCCAUCUUGCCCAGAGACCACAUGUUGAAAUUCCGGGUCGGAGGUCACUCCACCCCACUUUGAAUGGAUUAAAGAUGACAAGGCCCAACCGGGGGCAAGUUUGAGCCUUGCCAGUUAGAUAUUGGGUGCUAAGCAGAGCGGCUAAUGUCUAUGUUUUGUCACACGUAUUUUGCUCUGGCUGGAAUGGAAAAUGUUCAUUUGGUUACCCCAUGCAACCCACUGGGCAGCAUCUUACAAAAUUGAGAUUUUUUUUUUUUUAAUUUUGUGUUGCAGCUUGGCCUCCAGGGCUAUGAUGCAGCAAGUAGAUUCGCUAGGGCCACUCAGGGAAAGGGAACCCAGAAACCUGGCAUGCCAGCAAAAGGGUAAGAAUUUCUUACCAGUCAGACUUCUGGCCUCUCUCUGUGCGCGCCGACUGUAGGAAUGGUAAAAAUCACUGCCUCCUCUGCAAAGUUUCAAUUAAUGAAACAAAAGCCUUCAUGUGGCUAGUAUUAAGCUGUAGCAAAUCUGGUGUAAUUUGUGCUAUGAAUUUGUCUUUCUGUAUUUUUCUGUCAUAAAGAGAGGUACCUUAGGAUAGAAUAUGGGCUUAGGACCCGGUAAGCUUGCUGUUCAAGCCAGUCCGGCACACUGGUCAGUUACAAACUUUGCGGCAGGUCCCUGAAACAAACAAAAAACUGACUGAAGUUUUCCCCUUGUCUUAUGCCCUUGGAAGCUUGACCUUGUAACCAUAUGGUGGUAUACCUUCUUAGUCUCCAGCAUCCAGAGGACAGGAAUUUUGAGGUUCACGUCAUAGCCCUAAAAAUUGUCUUGAGCAGUUAAAAGCCUUUGCAAGCUCAAAAUUGGCUGCCUCUAGGGUCCUUCUAAGAAAAGAAAUGGAAACUGCCCAAUGCUGAAGCUUAGUAGCUAAGGUUUUGUCUUUUCACAAUGGCAGCCCACAUUCAGGGUUCAAUUCCCAGCUCAGGGAAUUAGUCCUUUCUAGUUUGAUAUCUACGUGAGCUUUGCCAUUUGUUGAUUCUCUGCCCCUCCUUGAACAACAUCUGGCUUUCCUUUUUGAAUUUUCCCUUCUCUAAGCUGCCUUUGUAGAUUCUAAAUCUUGUAAAAACUGCUUACCACCUGUUUGAAAAUACUUCGUACACCUGUGGUUAAGUCACAACCUUAGUUAAGGCUUAUUGGUUUCACCUGGGAGAUUACCUUUGGUAAAGUUUAAAGGCCAUAAAUAUUGGCUGUUUGUCCCGGCUAGAGUCUGGUAAUAAGAGAUUUUGUUAAAAGUUAGCUUAAUUAAAAGCAGAUAUCCAAGCUAUACGUAUAUUUAAAAGGUCUUUAUGUUUUUUUCUCUUCUUGGAUCUUAUGAAGAAAAAAGUAUUUUUUUUUACCAGGGGAAAACAAGACAAGGGGAAAAAAAAGGUAUUUUUUUUUUCACAGUCAACUGAAUUGUUUCUCUGUUUUGCCUUCUUGCCACUCUUGAUGCACAUGUGAGAGGACCUAAGAUAAUUUCUAAUAGCCUUGGACUCCUUGAGAAAAACAGAGGAGGUGCCACAGACCCCGUUUUAGGGAAAACAUCUGUUUUCCUCAUUAAGACCCAGGGAUUGGAAGCAGAUAGAUCUCUCUCAAAAGCUAAGGCUCUGUUCUGUUUUGCAUUGCGUUAUUUGACAUUUUUUACUUUUUAGAGUAUCAGAAAUUACUUCACAUUAUGAGUGAGCUUUGGUGUGUAAUAACUAGGUAGCAAAUAUACUUUUGGGCAUGGCCAGUGGCAGUUAUGGCGGGAUACUUGGCUCUCUGCACGUUUGGAUCAGAGAGGCGUGCUCUCAGCCACCUGGAAGGUAUGGAAACAUCCCCAUCCCCCACCCCACCACUGAGAUAAGGCUUCCGUGGGGGAUAGGCUGAUCACAGAAUGGGCUGAUUGACUCUGGGUUGUCUUGCAAUGAAACUCACAGUAAGAUCAUUCAUUGUCUUGUUCUGUAGUAUUUCUUUUUUGGGAAUUGAGGAUCCGGUAUAAAAAUAGGACCCUGAAUUUUGGGGGAUCUGUUUUGCUUUCCAUCUGUAUCUGCUUAUUAAGCCCUAGAAACGGCAUGUUUUCCUAACCCUGUUCCUCAAAGGACCCCACCCUGAAGCCAGUAAUCCAAUUAAGAAACUUAAAAACUGCCAAAUGAAAAAUCGUAACAACUACUGGAUCUUCUGCUGUCUGUAUAUUUAUAUGUGUUGUGUGUGUGACAUUUAUAUAUGAAGGAGCUCUGAUUAAUUGGCUUAAAAAUAAGCGCUUAAAUAUUUUGUCAGGAAAAUAAAAACUAAUGCCUUUUAGUUCACGUGACUUUAGUAAGCUUUGGAAGGACAGUUUAAAAAAUUAUUGGUAAAAUAAAGACAUUUGGUCUAAAUUAGGUCAGAUAAUUAGGUUUGCUAAACGCUUUAAGAUCAUGAACUGCUUCUUUGACUUUUGAAAAGUCAAAGAAGAGCUAUUCUUUGAGCUAUUAGAUUCUAGGUAAGGCCUGUGGACAUGCGGAGUUAGGGAUGCCCCCUCACUAUGAUGGAAGGAUAACUUAUCUGCAUUUUUGUCUCGUAUCUUAGGCUCCACACCUGCUACAAAAUUAAAAAUCACUCACUUAUCAGGUUUUUCAGCAACAACAAAAGUUUCUAAGAGUUAACAGUGUAACAUGCAAUGGAGACUACUACAGAAACGUUUUACAUGCAAGGUGUGUCAGGAAAGUGAAAUGUGUUUUUGGUAAAAGAUUAUAAGAAGGCAUGGAAAUGUGGGAGUUUUUUGGCUACACUAGUUUAGAGGGUUAAAGGUUUUAACUAAGAUAGCAUAAAGCUGAAGGUUUGAGCAAGUUGUGAUAGGUUUGUGAAAGAUUAAUCUGGUAAAAGAAAUUUUAUAUGUGAACAUAUUGGCUAAAGCUAAAGUGACAUUAUUCAGUUUUUCUGUAAAUUGAACAUUGGAAUAAAAGCACAAAAGGAUUUCCUUGGAGCACUGAUCUGCUCUUUAACAAAAAUUGUAAAGGGUCAUAAGAUUUAUAAGAAUCUUACCUUAGGGUCAAACAUUAAAAUUGAAGAGAUUUGUCUAAGGUUCUACUAAGAAUUGGGUUUGAUAUUAAUAGUACACUAAUGCAAAGGUGAAAUUUGGCUUUCUCUUGAACAAGAUUUUCCAUGAAUAAAGUUUUUUGCCUUUUUAAAAUUUUUGAGUUAUUUUGGCUAGAUGACUUAUGGUGGCCUAUGAUUCUCUUCUAUAAUAUCAAGUGUUUUAAACCUUUGAUAGUAACAAACUUUCCAAAACCAAAUUAUAAAUUAUGUCUUUUUCUGACCUAAUUAAUCUUAUAGCUAUUAGGUCCCCUAAAGUCCAAAAAUGACAUAUUUGGCUUAUUUGGUAUAAAAAUCAUACAGGAAGCAUUGUCAAAUAUGAAAUGGUGUUUGGCUUUCUUUGGGCUGUAUUUGUAUAAAUAUGUUAUUAGUAUAUGUUCCAAAAUUACUGGAAAGUCCUGUAAUUCUGAUAUGGCUUAGUGUAUGUAAUUAAUAAUUAUAAUUGUUGUGUAAAAUUGUAUGCCACAGAAGUAACCAAAAUUGUCAAAUGUGGCUUUAGUAGUGGCUGUCCUAAGACUUUUUGUCACCCACAAUUAUUGUCUUGUUUUGAUUCUCUUCAAAAGGUGGUUUAUAAUCAGCUAUAGGACUUUGACAGGUGCUCUUGAAUGCAGGUUUCUGAUACCUUUGGAGAUUGUGACAUUAGAAUCGAGGAAAAAACUUUCAGGACUCUCAUGGAGAGCUGAAAUGUUUAUGAAUAUCAAGCAGAACAGGUGUUAACUGCAUAGACUGAACUAAUAGAAGACUAAAAUAACCCUUCUAUGACUUUUUACUUAAAACAUUGCUGAUCUUUGUUUUUCAGAGCCAAGAAAACUUUUAUUUGUAACUUUAAAAAAUAAAAAUAAGAUGCAGUCUCUCUCUGUUGCCCAGGCUGGAGUGCAGUCGUGUGACCUGAGCUCA
rnacentral:lncRNA from 10 species